rnacentral:sRNA from 1 species
GAUAUAGUAAAAAUGUGGAGCCGAUUC